rnacentral:misc_RNA from 1 species
GAUGAAGAACGUAGCGAAAUGCGAUACGUAAUGUGAAUUGCAGAAUUCAGUGAAUCAUCGAAUCUUUGAACGCACAUUGCGCCCCCUGGAAUUCCGGGGGGCAUGCCUGUUCGAGCGUCUCAGGGACGAACCCUCGCGCGGGUGUACGCGCGGUCGUGGCUGCGGUGGCGUGCCCGAGGCGGCGGCCACCGCGCUGGAAUCCAUGGGCGGACGCCUGCCGCGUGGCCGAGCGUGAUAUGACGCAUUGGCGCUCGCACGCGGCGAGGCUGCCAGCCCUGGCCCGUCUGUCGGGCGGGGGAGAGCAAGACACGUGAACUCCUCGAAUCAGGUAGGGAUACCCGCUGAACUUAAGCAUAUCAAUAAGCGGAGGA